GGGUUGUGAGGUUAAGCGACUAAGCGUACACGGUGGAUGCCCUGGCAGUCAGAGGCGAUGAAGGACGUGCUAAUCUGCGAUAAGCGCCGGUAAGGUGAUAUGAACCGUUAUAACCGGCGAUUUCCGAAUGGGGAAACCCAGUGUGACUCGUCACACUAUCAUUAACUGAAUCCAUAGGUUAAUGAGGCGAACCGGGGGAACUGAAACAUCUAAGUACCCCGAGGAAAAGAAAUCAACCGAGAUUCCCCCAGUAGCGGCGAGCGAACGGGGAGGAGCCCAGAGCCUGAAUCAGCAUGUGUGUUAGUGGAAGCGUCUGGAAAGGCGCGCGAUACAGGGUGACAGCCCCGUACACAAAAGCGCAUGUGCUGUGAGCUCGAUGAGUAGGGCGGGACACGUGGUAUCCUGUCUGAAUAUGGGGGGACCAUCCUCCAAGGCUAAAUACUCCUGACUGACCGAUAGUGAACCAGUACCGUGAGGGAAAGGCGAAAAGAACCCCGGCGAGGGGAGUGAAAAAGAACCUGAAACCGUGUACGUACAAGCAGUGGGAGCACCCUUUGGGGUGUGACUGCGUACCUUUUGUAUAAUGGGUCAGCGACUUAUAUUCUGUAGCAAGGUUAACCGAAUAGGGGAGCCGGAGGGAAACCGAGUCUUAACCGGGCGUUAAGUUGCAGGGUAUAGACCCGAAACCCGGUGAUCUAGCCAUGGGCAGGUUGAAGGUUGGGUAACACUAACUGGAGGACCGAACCGACUAAUGUUGAAAAAUUAGCGGAUGACCUGUGGCUGGGGGUGAAAGGCCAAUCAAACCGGGAGAUAGCUGGUUCUCCCCGAAAGCUAUUUAGGUAGCGCCUCGUGAAUUCAUCUCCGGGGGUAGAGCACUGUUUCGGCUAGGGGGCCAUCCCGGCUUACCAACCCGAUGCAAACUGCGAAUACCGGAGAAUGUUAUCACGGGAGACACACGGCGGGUGCUAACGUCCGUCGUGAAGAGGGAAACAACCCAGACCGCCAGCUAAGGUCCCAAAGUCAUGGUUAAGUGGGAAACGAUGUGGGAAGGCCCAGACAGCCAGGAUGUUGGCUUAGAAGCAGCCAUCAUUUAAAGAAAGCGUAAUAGCUCACUGGUCGAGUCGGCCUGCGCGGAAGAUGUAACGGGGCUAAACCAUGCACCGAAGCUGCGGCAGCGACGCUGAUGCGUUGUUGGGUAGGGGAGCGUUCUGUAAGCCUGUGAAGGUGGCCUGUGAGGGUUGCUGGAGGUAUCAGAAGUGCGAAUGCUGACAUAAGUAACGAUAAAGCGGGUGAAAAGCCCGCUCGCCGGAAGACCAAGGGUUCCUGUCCAACGUUAAUCGGGGCAGGGUGAGUCGACCCCUAAGGCGAGGCCGAAAGGCGUAGUCGAUGGGAAACGGGUUAAUAUUCCCGUACUUGGUGUUACUGCGAAGGGGGGACGGAGAAGGCUAUGUUGGCCGGGCGACGGUUGUCCCGGUUUAAGCGUGUAGGUGUGUGUUCCAGGUAAAUCCGGUUCACUUUAACACUGAGGCGUGAUGACGAGGCACUACGGUGCUGAAGCAACAAAUGCCCUGCUUCCAGGAAAAGCCUCUAAGCAUCAGGUAACAUCAAAUCGUACCCCAAACCGACACAGGUGGUCAGGUAGAGAAUACCAAGGCGCUUGAGAGAACUCGGGUGAAGGAACUAGGCAAAAUGGUGCCGUAACUUCGGGAGAAGGCACGCUGACACGUAGGUGAAGUGAUUUACUCAUGGAGCUGAAGUCAGUCGAAGAUACCAGCUGGCUGCAACUGUUUAUUAAAAACACAGCACUGUGCAAACACGAAAGUGGACGUAUACGGUGUGACGCCUGCCCGGUGCCGGAAGGUUAAUUGAUGGGGUCAGCGCAAGCGAAGCUCCUGAUCGAAGCCCCGGUAAACGGCGGCCGUAACUAUAACGGUCCUAAGGUAGCGAAAUUCCUUGUCGGGUAAGUUCCGACCUGCACGAAUGGCGUAAUGAUGGCCAGGCUGUCUCCACCCGAGACUCAGUGAAAUUGAACUCGCUGUGAAGAUGCAGUGUACCCGCGGCAAGACGGAAAGACCCCGUGAACCUUUACUAUAGCUUGACACUGAACAUUGAGCCUUGAUGUGUAGGAUAGGUGGGAGGCUUUGAAGUGUGGACGCCAGUCUGCAUGGAGCCGGCCUUGAAAUACCACCCUUUAAUGUUUGAUGUUCUAACGUGGACCCGUGAUCCGGGUUGCGGACAGUGUCUGGUGGGUAGUUUGACUGGGGCGGUCUCCUCCUAAAGAGUAACGGAGGAGCACGAAGGUUGGCUAAUCCUGGUCGGACAUCAGGAGGUUAGUGCAAUGGCAUAAGCCAGCUUGACUGCGAGCGUGACGGCGCGAGCAGGUGCGAAAGCAGGUCAUAGUGAUCCGGUGGUUCUGAAUGGAAGGGCCAUCGCUCAACGGAUAAAAGGUACUCCGGGGAUAACAGGCUGAUACCGCCCAAGAGUUCAUAUCGACGGCGGUGUUUGGCACCUCGAUGUCGGCUCAUCACAUCCUGGGGCUGAAGUAGGUCCCAAGGGUAUGGCUGUUCGCCAUUUAAAGUGGUACGCGAGCUGGGUUUAGAACGUCGUGAGACAGUUCGGUCCCUAUCUGCCGUGGGCGCUGGAGAACUGAGGGGGGCUGCUCCUAGUACGAGAGGACCGGAGUGGACGCAUCACUGGUGUUCGGGUUGUCAUGCCAAUGGCACUGCCCGGUAGCUAAAUGCGGAAGAGAUAAGUGCUGAAAGCAUCUAAGCACGAAACUUGCCCCGA
rnacentral:rRNA from 1 species